rnacentral:rRNA from 1 species
UUCAGAGAUGAGGGAGUGCCGGUUUACCGGACCAUGAGACAGGUGCUGCAUGGCUGUCGUCAGCUCGUGUCGUGAGAUGUUGGGUUAAGUCCCGCCAACGAGCGCAACCCCUGCUUCCAGUUACCAUCAUUAAGUUGGGGACUCUGGAAGGACCGCUGCGGUAACAACGCAGAGGAAGGUGGGGACGACGUCAAGUCAUCAUGGUCCUUAUGACCAGGGCUACACACGUGCUACAAUGGUAGUUACAGAGGGAAGCGAUACGGCAACGUGGAGCAAAUCUCAGAAAAGCUACCUUAGUUCGGAUUGAGGUCUGCAACUCGACCUCAUGAAGUUGGAAUCGCUAGUAAUCGCGCAACAGCAUGGCGCGGUGAAUACGUUCCCGGGCCUU